rnacentral:rRNA from 1 species
AGAGUUUGAUCAUGGCUCAGAAUGAACGUUGGCGGCGUGGAUUAGGCAUGCAAGUCGAACGCGAACGGGCAACUUAGUAGCGUGGCGAAAGGGGUAGUAACACAUAGGCAACCUGCCUUCGGGUCUGGGAUAGACGGUGGAAACGCCGAGUAAAACUAGACAUCGUCCGAUGGUCGCAUGAUCGCUGGACGAAAGGCAACGCCCGAAGAGGGGCUUAUGUCCUAUCAGCUAGUUGGUGAGGUAAUGGCUCACCAAGGCGACGACGGGUAGGGGGUGUGAGAGCACGAUCCCCACCACUGGCACUGAGACACUGGCCAGACUCCUACGGGAGGCUGCAGUCGAGAAUCUUCGGCAAUGGGCGCAAGCCUGACCGAGCGACGCCGCGUGGAGGAUGAAGGCCUUCGGGUUGUAAACUCCUGUUGGGGGGGAACAAUAAUGAGUGAACCCCUGAGGAAGCACGGGCUAAGUUCGUGCCAGCAGCCGCGGUAAUUC